CGCGCGAUCUCCACCUUCUCCGAUUCAUCUCCACUGUCGACGCCGAGCUCGCGAUCGCCAACCAUCUUCCUUCGCGUGAGGUUAGGGCAAAAACUCCAUCGGCUGUGUGAGAGCAGUUGGCAUUCUUCCUCUUGCAGUUUUCUCUUCUUCCUCUCGCUCUCUCACGCGCACGGAUGGCCCGACACCGACGGGAAGCUCCUCCUACCCGCGAUUUCGUCCUCAUCGAGUUGCCUGAAGAAGGGCCGCUAGAGCUCAAAGGGGUGCCGAUUAUCUCCGACUGUGCAGACGUCUCGGUGGUUGUUUCUUGCGGGCAAUCGACGGUGAUCCGGCGGAGCUAGGGCACGGCGGGGAGAAGUUGUUUCGUAUCUUUCCCGGCCGAUCGAGCCCCUUUCGCUUCUCCUCUUCGAUCUGCUCGCUGGGGGGGGGGCGAAUUGGAUCAUCACCAGCUGAGGUGGAUCAUGCGAUACUGGCUGUAGAUGAUCGAUUUAGAGGAAGAAUUGGAUCGGUGUACGAUGGACCUUCUCUGUUGUCGUUCACUGCCUCUUCACUUCUUGUAGCUGUUGAGGUCUCGGUUGAAGAGGUGGGGAUUGAUUUAGCAUAGCAAUGUUUAGCUGAGGGAUAGGCAUCUGAUCGCUGUUGCACAUCAAGGACUUGGAUUCGGGACGAGCGUCUCGACGCGGGAUUUCUUGACAUGG